rnacentral:rRNA from 1 species
GACGAACCGUCCAAACGUUAUUCGGAAUUACUGGGCGUAAAGGGCGCGUAGGCGGCCUGCUAAGUCGAACGUGAAAUCCCUGGGCUCAACCCAGGAACUGCGUCCGAUACUGGUUGGCUUGAAUCCGGGAGAGGGACGUGGAAUUCCAGGUGUAGCGGUGAAAUGCGUAGAUAUCUGGAGGAACACCGGUGGCGAAGGCGACGUCCUGGACCGGCAUUGACGCUGAGGCGCGAAAGCCAGGGGAGCAAACGGG